AAGUCUCCAUCUUAACUCUUCUUUGACUCUUUCAAAGCAACUACAACAAUCAAGAACUCUCUCCCUCUUUCAUUCCCACAGGUCCAAAACCAAAAGAAGGAAAACCUCUCAAUUCUUUUCUCCCUUUCACAGCUAUGGGUCCAGCAGCAAGGAAAGAUGUUUCUUUCAAUUCUUCUCAAGCUUUUGUACCUAACUUGAAGCUAAAGUGAUUCUAGCUCUAUCACUCCAAGAAUCCAUGUCUAGGGUGUUACCAAUUCCCCAAGUCUAAGCUCCUUCGACUGUAGGCUCUCGGUUCCUCUGCUUUCAGUUAGUAGGUUUUGUUUUGGAGCAGAGGGAGCCUUAGUUGAGUUUGGAAGGAGCUGGUUUUAGUUUUAUAUGUAUAGAUCCUAAAUUAGCAAUUUGAUAUUUAGAUUUGUAGUAUGGUGUAUUUUAGGAUAUAAUGAAAGUGUGUAUCUUAAAGUAUUAAGAGAUUUAUUAUGUGAAAUUUAGAAUCUGAAUAAUUGGUGGAUUGUGUUAUCCUUUGAGGUACAAUGUAGAUGCUCUAAAUAUCAAGUGGAAAGUUAUAUCAUUUAAGUAAAGAAAUAA